rnacentral:rRNA from 1 species
UACGUAGGGUGCGAGCGUUGUCCGGAAUUAUUGGGCGUAAAGAGCUCGUAGGCGGUCUGUCGCGUCGGCUGUGAAAACCCAGGGCUUAACCCUGGGCCUGCAUUCGAUACGGGCAGACUAGAGUUCGGUAGGGGAGACUGGAAUUCCUGGUGUAGCGGUGAAAUGCGCAGAUAUCAGGAGGAACACCAGUGGCGAAGGCGGGUCUCUAGGCCGACACUGACGCUGAGGAGCGAAAGCGUGGGGAGCGAACAGG